rnacentral:rRNA from 1 species
CCUACGGGAGGCAGCAGUGGGGAAUUUUGGACAAUGGGCGCAAGCCUGAUCCAGCAAUGCCGCGUGCAGGAUGAAGGCCUUCGGGUUGUAAACUGCUUUUGUACGGAACGAAAAGGCUCUGGCUAAUACCUGGGGCUGAUGACGGUACCGUAAGAAUAAGCACCGGCUAACUACGUGCCAGCAGCCGCGGUAAUACGUAGGGUGCGAGCGUUAAUCGGAAUUACUGGGCGUAAAGCGUGCGCAGGCGGUUUUGUAAGACAGGUGUGAAAUCCCCGGGCUUAACCGGGGAACUGCCCUUGUGACUGCAAGGCUGGAGUACGGCAGAGGGGGAUGAAAUUCCGCGUGUAGCAGUAAAAUGCGUAGAUAUGCGGAGGAACCCCGAUGGCGAGGGCAGCCCCCUGGGUUGACACUGACGCUCAUGCACAAAAGCGGGGGGAGCAAACAGGAUUAGAUCCCCUGGUAGU